UGGGCUUGACAUCCCACGAACCUGAAAGGGAAGGGAUCCCGCAAGGGAAGCCGGCACAGGUGGUGCAUGGCUGUCGUCAGCUCGUGUCGUGAGAUGUUGGGUUAAGUCCCGCAACGAGCGCAACCCUCACCCUCUGUUGCCAGCGGGUUAUGCCGGGCACUCUGAGGGAACUGCCCCGGUCAACGGGGAGGAAGGCGGGGAUGACGUCAAGUCAUCAUGCCCCUUAUGUCCUGGGCUACACACGUGCUACAAUGGCCGGUACAGAGGGCUGCAAACCUGCGAGGGGGAGCUAAUCCCACAAAGCCGGCCUAAGUUCAGAUUGUAGGCUGCAAUUCGCCUGCAUGAAGGAGGAAUCGCUAGUAAUCGCGCAUCAGCACGGCGCGGUGAAUACGUUCCCGGGCCUUGUACACACCGCCCGUCACACCACGAAAGUCGGCUGUACUCGAAGUCGCUGAGA
rnacentral:rRNA from 1 species